rnacentral:rRNA from 1 species
GAUGAACGCUGGCGGCGUGCCUAAUACAUGCAAGUCGAACGCUAAGGCUAGUACCUUCCUCUUCUUUGAUGUGUUGCGAACGGGUGAGUAACGCGUAGGUAACCUGCCUCAUAUCGGGGGAUGCCUGUUGGAAACGAUCGCUAAUCCCGCAUAACAUUGAUUAUCACAUGAUAGUCCAUUGAAAUGUGCAAUUGCAUCACUACCCGAUGUACCUGCGUUGUAGUAGCUAGUUGGUGGGGUAACGGCUCACCAAGGCGACGAUACAUAGCCGACAGGAGAGGGUGAUCGGCCACACUGGGACUGAGAAACGGCCCAGAGGGAUACAGGAGGGAGCAGGAGGGAAUCGGCGGGAAGAGACGGAAGACAGACCGAGAAACGCGGAGGGAGGGAAGAGGGUUGUCGGAUCGGAGAGGACUGUUGUAAGGGAAGAAAGAGUGUGAGAGAGGAAAGUACACAAUGUGACGGUACCUUAAGAGAAAGCGACGGCUAACUACGUG